UCACCUUUGUUACAUGUAGGCUGUAUGUUUUUACAAUGUUUAUGUAUUAAAUUAAAAUAUAACGUAACACUGAAAGUCUUGUCUAGGCUUUCACUAUCAGACUCUUUUAUUAGACUAGUCUUGUUUAGUAUUCAGUAACCGUCAGUUGCCGUGAUACCGCACAAUGCGGGACAAGUGUUUCAUUGUUCAUGCUUCAUUUUGGGGGUAGGGCUGUUCAACUACCAGAACAUUUCUUUAUCCUGAAGAUUUUGAAAGCCUAGACUAUAGAAAUUGAAAACAAUCUAUUAAAAAAUGAAACAUGCAGAUGCUGAGGAGGUUUCCUUUUGGAUCUGGAUACACAUGCAGAUAAAAACAAGAAAGCCUUGGUAGAGACAGAAACCUUUGAUCAGGGAGGCCAGAUGAUGUUUUGACUCUUAAGAAUCAUAAACAGAUGUACCCAUUGAGAUGAACAGUGAUUUCUGGAAAAUACUUCCCAGGUGUCCUCCCUAUUCUUGAACAUCAGAUCCCUGAGGUCACAUCACCAUGGAUCCAGAACUGAGGGCUGGCCUAUCCACAGCUGCCAUAGUGGCUAUUGUGUGUAACUCAGUAGUAGCUGUGCUUAUUCUCAUUCUCUUUGUUAUACUCUACAAGGCCUGCAAAAUUCCCUCCUCUCCAGAGAAGGCCGCUGUACUGGUAAAGACUCAGGUGCCACAGAGAAGUGAACAAAAAUACUUAUUAACUACAGUUAGAAACUGUUAGAAUACAAGGCCUUUUAUUAAUUCACAGAGCACUAGACAACACUUUUCAAUGAGUGAUCUCACUCUUUAAAUAAAUGAGGACAAUGAGUUGAUUUUGCUAUUGAGGACAUCGAUGGGCUUCUGUGAAUAAGUCUUGUGACUGCGUUUCUACUUAUCUCUCUAAAGACACACUUGUAUGAAUUAUAAAUGUAUAAAAUUGAUCUUUUGAAACUUGAAAUCUAUUUUCUCAUAAAAGCUUUAUCUUAUCUUAAUGUUUAAUACAAUUUGUUGAAAUUGAAGUUGAAUGUAUAAGAUCCUCAUGAUUCAGGAAUAAAAGUUGGCGAUCAAACA